UUAUAAAUAUUUUUGCUCAUCUUUAUGACAAUUCUCCAGUGUUGGUAUUGCUCCUCUAUUUAACAGAUUAGAAAACUGAAGCUCCAAGAACAGACUUGCCUAAUAACACGGAAUUUGUAUGUCUCGAAGUGGCAAUUCACACAUAAGGCUCCGUGACUCCUGAACUCUCACAAUUAUUAGUUGGCUCUUUCCAUGGUUUUUCUGAAGUUGCUAGAAGUUUACAGAAAAGGAAGUGCAGGAACAUUUCACAAAUCUACAGUCUGUAAGUUAUCACAUCCUGUACAGCUCUAAACACUGGAAUAAGGAAGGGCUGAUGACUUUCAGAAGAUGAAGGUAAGUAGAAACCGUUGAUGGGACUGAGAAACCAGAGUUAAAACCUCUUGGGAGCUUCUGAGGACUCAGCUGGAACCAACGGGCACAGUUGGCAACACCAUCAUGACAUUACAACCUGUUCCCAAUGAGACCAUCAUAGUGCUCCCAUCAAAUGUCAUCAACUUCUCCCAAGCAGAGAAAUCCGAACCCAUCAACCAGGGGCAGGAUAGCCUGAAGAAACAUCUACACGCAGAAAUCAAAGUUAUUGGGACUAUCCAGAUCUUGUGUGGCAUGAUGGUAUUGAGCUUGGGGAUCAUUUUGGCAUCUGCUUCCUUCUCUCCAAAUUUUACCCAAGUGACUUCUACACUGUUGAACUCUGCUUACCCGUUCAUAGGACCCUUUUUUUUUAUCAUCUCUGGCUCUCUAUCAAUCGCCACAGAGCAAAGGUUAACCAGGCUUUUGGUGCAUAGCAGCCUGGUUGGAAGCAUUCUGAGUGCUCUGUCUGCCCUGGUGGGUUUCAUUAUCCUGUCUGUCAAACUGGCCACCUUAAAUCCUGCCUCACUGCAGUGUGAGUUGGACAAAAAUAAUAUACCAACAAGAAGUUAUGUUUCUUACUAUUAUCAUGAUUCACUUUAUACCACGGACUGCUAUACAGCCAAAGCCAGUCUGGCUGGAACUCUCUCUCUGAUGCUGAUUUGCACUCUGCUGGAAUUCUGCCUAGCUGUGCUCACUGCUGUGCUGCGGUGGAAACAGGCUUACUCUGACUUCCCUGGGGUGAGUGUGCUGGCCGGCUUCGCUUAACCUUGCCUAGUGUAUCUCAUCCCUGCACUGUGUUGAGUAUGUCACCAAGAGUGGUAGAAGGAACAACCAGACAAUCACGAGAUACACAUGGGAGGGCAUUUGCAUUGUGAUGGAAGACAGAGAAGAAAAGCCGAUGGCAAUUGAAGUGUACUUUUCCUGCCUCACAGUUACAUUGGUAAUUCUGGCAUGUCCUCAAAAAUGACUCAUGAC